AAGUCGAACGGUAACAGGAAGCAGCUUGCUGCUUCGCUGACGAGUGGCGGACGGGUGAGUAAUGUCUGGGAAACUGCCUGAUGGAGGGGGAUAACUACUGGAAACGGUGGCUAAUACCGCAUAACGUCGCAAGACCAAAGAGGGGGACCUUCGGGCCUCUUGCCAUCAGAUGUGCCCAGAUGGGAUUAGCUUGUUGGUGAGGUAACGGCUCACCAAGGCGACGAUCCCUAGCUGGUCUGAGAGGAUGACCAGCCACACUGGAACUGAGACACGGUCCAGACUCCUACGGGAGGCAGCAGUGGGGAAUAUUGCACAAUGGGCGCAAGCCUGAUGCAGCCAUGCCGCGUGUAUGAAGAAGGCCUUCGGGUUGUAAAGUACUUUCAGCGGGGAGGAAGGUGUUGUGGUUAAUAACCGCAG
rnacentral:rRNA from 1 species